UCUCUUAAAUAUGGAUGGACUUCCACAGAUUAGAAACACAACUGUUGUGAAUCUGCCCUCGAAGGUCACUUCAUCCAGCGUAGGUUCUGUGCAUUAGCUGAAGCUCCGUGAUGGAGGAGGAAGACACCGGGCAGAGAAUUUUGGCUCCUGUUGCAACUGAAGGCAAAUCUCUACCAGCCCUUCUCUUUGCAUUGUUUAUAUUCCUCGCAGGUAAGUUGACACAGGUGAGUAAAGCGAACAGAUAUUUGAAAGAGUCGCAUAAGUUGGUUCAGAGCAAUCCCCUCCCAUUAGCGGCUUGUGGCUGAAUUGGCUGGGAGGUUUUUAAGUUCCCCCCACUCGUCUUCUCUCUGCAUUUCAGGCUUUUAGCAGAAGCAACAGGCACCCCCUAGAAAAUAACUUUUCAGUUGCUUCUAUUAGUUGCUGUGAACAGGAACUGCUCCAGGAACAUGGGGGUUGUGGUACCCAUCUGGGCCAUAGUCUGAACAUGCCAUCUGAUCUCCUUCAGCUUUCGUGGCUUCUUAAGUCCUGCUAAGCUGUGGCAGCAUUUCUCUGCUAAAUUUCCAACCAGGAGAAAAAGCCUAUAACUUGCAUAUAGUCCAUUUAAAACGUUCCUUGAAGCAUACCUGUUCGUAAAGCAGUGGCUGUAAAGAUGCCUCAAAGACGCCAUUUAGAUAAACGAAUUAAUUCAUUAGAGCCAAGAAUACUUAGUUUGUUUCACAGGCUACAAACCUGGUCGCUGGUUGUGAUACUAUUGGCAUUUUAUAUAAUUCUUUCCAUUUCUGAGGAUUUGGUGUGUGUGUGUGUUUUUUUUUCUUUUAAACCAAAAUAGAACCCUGAACUCUUUAAAUGAGUUUAGUUCUCUUCUUAAGACAGUCAUGUGUUUUAAAAGCCUCCCCUGUAGAACAUGUUCGUGGAAUUACUGAACAGGGAGGGAUAUCUAAGUUUAUAAUGCAUUUAUAUGAGGUGCGGACAAGUUGGGUGAUUUAAAACGAAUAAAGGAAAUUGUGAGCGUUUUAAUCCAACUCAAAGUACUUAGAAGGCUUUAGAUCAGGCAUGGCUGCAAAACUUGCUGUAUAUCUUAACGCAUAGAUGGACUAAGAAUUAUUAAGUAAAUUAAAUAAUUGGAGGGAUCAGCUAUAUAAAGUCCUGCAGUUAACAAUGUGCACAGGACUUAUUUAAAGAAAGAAAAAACUGCUAACUAUGCUUAUAACAUAUAAGUGUUGGUCCACAAGAAAUAAAAUACAGAGUCCAUAGUUGCCUAACCUUUUUAUCAGAACAUACCAAUAAAUGCUUUUGUGACUGACAGCUGUCACUGUAGCGCGUACCAAAUAAAUACGAAAGGUUGAUGGGAAACCAGUUUCUCAAAUUGCUUAAUUAUCCAACUGAGAUUAUACCUGUACAUUUAUACGCUGGAGUAAAUUCAUUGUUCGAAAUGCACCACUGGCUACCGCUGGAACAGGUGCAUUUUAGAGGGGAAUGUAGGAAUUCUGGCCUGGAGAAGACCAAUUAAUUUGGGAGGCAAGCAUGGAAAGUCCUUAGCUUAAAUAAAACCAUGCAGGCUUUUUUCUUUCCCCAUCUGGUACAACCAACGGAAUCAAUAGUUUUGAGUCCUCCCUGAGUUGUUCAGAAGCCGAGAAUUCGUUCUCCAAACGCUUUUACGAGGUGCUGAUUGACAUUCUGUGGUUGCUACUUGUUCCGUUGCGACUUUGAACCUUUUCUCCCUGUAUAUU